CCCUAAUUCACAUUUCAGUUGGGAAAUGAAUUUAUUUUCUAGUCUUCCUGUUCAUAGAAGGAAUGGCUAUGAGAGUUAAACACAUUGAACUAUAUUUUCCUUGAACCUUUGGGUUUUGAACCUCAUAUAUACUAUCUGGGAGUUAUCUAGAAGAAACUCUGGGCAUGUAGUUACCAAGCAGAUAUUUUAUUAUGAUUGGUUGGCUAUGUGUUAUUUUUAUGGCAAUAAUGUUAAGCAAUUAAGCAUACUCUAUUUUCAGGGGGACCAAUUCCAUCAUUCCAGAGUCACAUAAAGCUCAAGUGAAAGAUAAGGAAGAGGUUGGAUUUACCAGGACUUGAUGAGUCUGUGAAGUAAUUCCUCUUUUGCAAAUUCACACUAACUAUACUUUUUAGAUGAUCAAUUAACUUAGCCACAAGGAGAAUGGGAAAUGUGGGAAUACAGGUUGAUCAUUCUCUGAAAAUAAUUGAGACUUGUGGCAUAUGAAUGUGAUGGAAUACUGCUGUGCCAUAGUAAAGGACAAGCAACUUCAUUUUAAAAAAUAAACACGAAAAGACUAAUGUGAAAGUCUGAAGAUUAAGAUGAAUAGAAGAAUGAGAAUAUUAUAUGCUGCAAUAAAAUAUUGUUGGAAGAAGAACUCAUUCAGAACCUCUGGAAUCCUAACUACUCCAUUUCCCAGUUAUUUCCUAUUGAGCCAAAAAACUCUAGACAAGGUUACCCUACAGCUAAAACCUGAAGAUGGAAUCCAUAGGAUACACCUAUUCAAAGACACCUUACAGCCAAAUGGGAAUGACUUUGUUUUGGGGUACAGAUGUGUGCCCCUGGGGUUCAGGAAGGAUACCUUUUGCAAGAAUACAAAACUCCAAAACUUAGCUUAAAAACAAAAAGAGAAAUUUAUUAAUUUAGGAGGUAAUGUUGAGAAUGGCUAGGAGGAUAUCAAAGUGGAACAGCAAGAUGGGGAGCAGUUCUUGGGAGGACAGCAUUGUAAUAUUUAUUGAGAAAGGAUGGGAAGGAUAGGAAAAACUGGGGAUAAAGUGAGGUUUGUAUGGGGGUAUGGAGGAGUUGAGGGGAGAGAGGGAAUAUUGCUUGGUGAGGCAAAGGAGAGAGAUGCCCCCUGCUGAGAGGAAGCAGCAGGGGUCCGAUAAGGACUGUUUGUCGUUGAAUAACUGAAUUGAUGUUCUCUAUGCCCAGAAAGAUAGUCCACUUAUCUGACAACGAAUUCAAAUAAUAUAAAGUUUAAUAGCCGCAGGAGCUGGUGGAGGUUUUCUCCCACUCCCGUCUACUCUAUAUCAGUCCUCACUUUGUCUAAUUCAGAAUGUUAGCAAUAUAUAGAAAGCAAACAAGAACAGGUCUGACUUUCAGAAGUGAUUGGGCCUGAAUCUUUGGGCUGAACCAAGAAGAGGCACACCACACCAGACUGGGCUGAACAAGCUCCUCCCUCCUCCAACACUGGGAAGGAAGUGCUAGUCACAAGACCCAACUGCCACUCCCAGUUGCCCCUUCCUCCACCAACUGUCAGUCUUGUUUCCUUUCCACAGCAUGAAAGGAAAGGUUGUUUCCCAUGAGGACAGUAUGGAUGGAAAAGCUGUCCCCCAGAUGACAUCAGUUCUGUGGAUUUUAUACUUUUUACAACAGAUGCUAUGUCAGAGUGUGGAUGUGACCUAGAGUGCUAGUCACUCAGGCAUUUGGUGGAGUGAAGUGGUCAUCUGACUGGGGUCUGCCUGGAGGCAUAAAGAUUCCUUAACAAACAGAUAUCUUGAGAUGUAGCCUGAUAGGAUCGAGGUGUAGCCUGGAGGUGCAUCUCUCGGUCCAUAAUAGUUUGCCUGAAUUUCCAGGGGUACAAUGCCCAUGUCAACUUUACCAAGUCUCAGAAGACUCCUAUGUGAAGGGAACCCAUUUCUCCUAGGAUGGUGAACUUUCUACUCCUCCACACUAGCCCAGGGACUUGGCUGGAAUGCUCCAAAAAGAAAGACUUUGAUUUCAUCAUGAAACAUAUGAUCAUCUCGACCCAGGAAAGCUAUAUGAAGUGGAGGAGGACUAUAAAAAUGAGACUGUAGAGUAGACUGGGUCUUUUCUCUGGAGAUUUUUGGAUGGGUGCUUGUCUGUGAUCCCACUUUGUUGGUGUAAUUUUGUGGGACUCACACUCCUUAGAUAGAGAAAUGAAAGUUGAAGGCAGUAAGGAAAGGGUUGAUGAAAAUGGUUUCCUUUACUACUCCCUCCUGGAGUCCCUGAAUUACUUGAGGGAGAUAAAAUGGAGAUCUCCCCUUGGUGAAGGCUUUGUUGACCUUGUGGCCCUCAAGGGCAGCGGGGAAGUUUUUUCUACAAGGAAAGAAAUGUGGGAUCUCAAUCUGGAUAUGUGCUGCUUUGGGGCUCUCACAAGCUUCCCCUUCAUGUCUUCUUGAAAACUGGCAACAAGAUGGAGUCUGCCAAUGGGUUUACACUCUAGUUGUAAAUAAAUGAGAUUGAAUUUGCUAUUUGAUUGCUUAU
ensembl:lncRNA